rnacentral:rRNA from 1 species
CCUACGGGAGGCAGCAGUGGGGAAUAUUGCACAAUGGGCGCAAGCCUGAUGCAGCCAUGCCGCGUGUGUGAAGAAGGCCUUCGGGUUGUAAAGCACUUUCAGCGGGGAGGAAGGCGUUAAGGUUAAUAACCUUGUCGAUUGACGUUACCCGCAGAAGAAGCACCGGCUAACUCCGUGCCAGCAGCCGCGGUAAUACGGAGGGUGCAAGCGUUAAUCGGAAUUACUGGGCGUAAAGCGCACGCAGGCGGUCUGUCAAGUCGGAUGUGAAAUCCCCGGGCUCAACCUGGGAACUGCAUUCGAAACUGGCAGGCUAGAGUCUUGUAGAGGGGAGUAAAAUUCCAGGUGUAGCGGUGAAAUGCGUAGAGAUCUGGAGGAAUACCGGUGGCGAAGGCGGCCCCCUGGACAGAGACUGACGCUCAGGUGCGAAAGCGUGGGGAGCAAACAGGAUUAGAUACCCGUGUAGUC